UGAUUGUUGGCAUACACAAGAUGGUGGUAGAGACCUUGCCUAAUGGCAAGUUAUCUAAACGAAUCAACCUCAAAGUACAAGACCUAAAUGGCCAUUAUUUGGAUGUUACUUUAUGGGAUGCAUAUGCUGAACAGAUGGCCGCAUUUCAGGCAAAAAAUGUUGAUCGUACAGGUGUAGUUAUCAUUCUUCAGUUUGCAAAAGUCAAGACGUAUGGGGGGAAAAGCUGAAUUGUUUCCGCUGGAGUUAAACACUUUGAAGGGUAAAAAGUUCGCAUUCAUGAUUUCAGUUAGAGAAUAUAACUUGAAAAACAAGAAUGAUCUUUAUUCCAUCACCAAAAUGACCGAAGAUCCAGAAAUUCUUGCAGCUCUUGAAAAGAAGUUUGAUGUCGGACAUGUAUGA